rnacentral:rRNA from 1 species
GAUGAACGCCGGCGGCGUGCCUAAUACAUGCAAGUCGAGCGAAUGGAUUAAGAGCUUGCUCUUAUGAAGUUAGCGGCGGACGGGUGAGUAACACGUGGGUAACCUGCCCAUAAGACUGGGAUAACUCCGGGAAACCGGGGCUAAUACCGGAUAACAUUUUGAACCGCAUGGUUCGAAAUUGAAAGGCGGCUUCGGCUGUCACUUAUGGAUGGACCCGCGUCGCAUUAGCUAGUUGGUGAGGUAACGGCUCACCAAGGCAACGAUGCGUAGCCGAACUGAGAGGGUGAGCGGCCACACUGGGACUGAGACACGGCCCAGACUCCUACGGGAGGCAGCAGUAGGGAAUCUUCCGCAAUGGACGAAAGUCUGACGGAGCAACGCCGCGUGAGUGAUGAAGGCUUUCGGGUCGUAAAACUCUGUUGUUAGGGAAGAACAAGUGCUAGUUGAAUAAGCUGGCACCUUGACGGUACCUAACCAGAAAGCCACGGCUAACUACGUGCCAGCCGCCGCUGUAA